rnacentral:rRNA from 1 species
AGGAUGAACGCUGGCGGCGUGCCUAAUACAUGCAAGUCGAGCGAAUGGAUUAAGAGCUUGCUCUUAUGAAGUUAGCGGCGGACGGGUGAGUAACACGUGGGUAACCUGCCCAUAAGACUGGGAUAACUCCGGGAAACCGGGGCUAAUACCGGAUAAUAUUUUGAACUGCAUGGUUCGAAAUUGAAAGGCGGCUUCGGCUGUCACUUAUGGAUGGACCCGCGUCGCAUUAGCUAGUUGGUGAGGUAACGGCUCACCAAGGCAACGAUGCGUAGCCGACCUGAGAGGGUGAUCGGCCACACUGGGACUGAGACACGGCCCAGACUCCUACGGGAGGCAGCAGUAGGGAAUCUUCCGCAAUGGACGAAAGUCUGACGGAGCAACGCCGCGUGAGUGAUGAAGGCUUUCGGGUCGUAAAACUCUGUUGUUAGGGAAGAACAAGUGCUAGUUGAAUAAGCUGGCACCUUGACGGUACCUAACCAGAAAGCCACGGCUAACUACGUGCCAGCAGCCGCGGUAAUACGUAGUGGCAAGCGUUAUCCG